rnacentral:tRNA from 1 species
GGUUUCCUGGUGUAAUGGCUAGCACUGCGGAUUCUGACCUGUCUCUUCCAAGCGCCCCUUGUUUGAGUUGAGUGAUAUUUCCGCCAAUCUGGGUUCGAUUCCCAGGGAGACCU